UACGUAGGGUGCGAGCGUUAAUCGGAAUUACUGGGCGUAAAGCGUGCGCAGGCGGUUAUGUAAGACAGUUGUGAAAUCCCCGGGCUCAACCUGGGAAUUGCAUCUGUGACUGCAUAGCUAGAGUACGGUAGAGGGGGAUGGAAUUCCGCGUGUAGCAGUGAAAUGCGUAGAUAUGCGGAGGAACACCGAUGGCGAAGGCAAUCCCCCUGGACCUGUACUGACGCUCAUGCACGAAAGCGUGGGGAGCAAACAGGG
rnacentral:rRNA from 1 species